UGGGGAAUAUUGCACAAUGGGCGCAAGCCUGAUGCAGCCAUGCCGCGUGUGUGAAGAAGGCCUUCGGGUUGUAAAGCACUUUCAGCGAGGAGGAAGGUGGUGAACUUAAUACGUUCAUCAAUUGACGUUACUCGCAGAAGAAGCACCGGCUAACUCCGUGCCAGCAGCCGCGGUAAUACGGAGGGUGCAAGCGUUAAUCGGAAUUACUGGGCGUAAAGCGCACGCAGGCGGUUUGUUAAGUCAGAUGUGAAAUCCCCGGGCUCAACCUGGGAACUGCAUUUGAAACUGGCAAGCUAGAGUCUCGUAGAGGGGGGUAGAAUUCCAGGUGUAGCGGUGAAAUGCGUAGAGAUCUGGAGGAAUACCGGUGGCGAAGGCGGCCCCCUGGACGAAGACUGACGCUCAGGUGCGAAAGCGUGAGGAGCAAACAGGAUUAGAUACCCUGGUAGUCCACGCUGUAAAACGAUGUCGAUUUUGGAGGUUGUGCCCUUGAGGCGUGGCUUCCGGAGCUAACGCGUUAAAUCGACCGCCUGGGGAGUACGGCCGCAAGGUUAAAAA
rnacentral:rRNA from 1 species